rnacentral:rRNA from 1 species
UAUAGAGGGGGCAAGCGUUGUUCGGAAUUACUGGGCGUAAAGGGCGCGUAGGCGGCCUUCUAAGUCGAACGUGAAAUCCCCGGGCUCAACCCGGGAACUGCGUCCGAUACUGGAAGGCUUGAAUCCGGGAGAGGGAUGUGGAAUUCCAGGUGUAGCGGUGAAAUGCGUAGAUAUCUGGAGGAACACCGGUGGCGAAGGCGACAUCCUGGACCGGUAUUGACGCUGAGGCGCGAAAGCCAGGGGAGCAAACGGG